rnacentral:rRNA from 1 species
CAAGCGAUGGGGUGACGCAGGAAGGUAGCUGGGCCAGUCAGUGGUUGUACUGGUGUAAGAGUGUAGGCCGUGACAUAGGCAAAUCCGUGUCACAUUAAGGCCGAGACUUGAUGCAUACCCGUUGUGGGGAAUUCAGUGAUCCUAUGCUGCCGAGAAAAGCCUCUAGUGAGUUCAUACACGGCCCGUACCCCAAACCGACACAGGUGAUCAGGUAGAGAAUACCAAGGCGAUCGAGAGAACUGUGGUUAAGGAACUCGGCAAAAUGCCCCCGUAACUUCGGGAGAAGGGGGACCAUGCCCGGUGAACAUCUUCACGGUGGGAGCUGGGUGUGGUCGCAGAGACCAGAGAGAAGCGACUGUUUACUAAAAACACAGGUCCGUGCGAAGACGUAAGUCGAUGUAUACGGACUGACGCCUGCCCGGUGCUGGAAGGUUAAGAGGACCGGUUAGCCGUAAGGCGAAGCUGAGAAUUUAAGCCCCAGUAAACGGCGGUGGUAACUAUAACCAUCCUAAGGUAGCGAAAUUCCUUGUCGGGUAAGUUCCGACCUGCACGAAUGGCGUAACGACUUCUCUGCUGUCUCGACCACAGACUCGGCGAAAUUGCACUACGAGUAAAGAUGCUCGUUACGCGCGGCAGGACGAAAAGACCCCGGGACCUUUACUAUAGCUUGGUAUUGGCGUUCGAUUCGGUUUGUGUAGGAUAGGUGGGAGACUGUGGAGCAUGCACGCCAGUGUGUGUGGAGUCGUUGUUGAAAUACCACUCUGAUCGUAUUGGACGUCUAACCUCGGCCCAUGAUCUGGGUUAGGGACAGUGCCUGGUGGGUAGUUUAACUGGGGCGGUUGCCUCCUAAAGAGUAACGGAGGCGCCCAAAGGUUCCCUCAGCCUGGAUGGCAAUCAGGUGUUGAGUGCAAGUGCACAAGGGAGCUUGACUGUGAGACUGACACGUCGAGCAGGGACGAAAGUCGGGACUAGUGAUCCGGCACCGGCAAGUGGAAGCGGUGUCGCUCAACGGAUAAAAGGUACCCCGGGGAUAACAGGCUGAUCUUCCCCAAGAGUCCAUAUCGACGGGAUGGUUUGGCACCUCGAUGUCGGCUCGUCGCAUCCUGGGGCUGGAGUAGGUCCCAAGGGUUGGGCUGUUCGCCCAUUAAAGCGGCACGCGAGCUGGGUUUAGAACGUCGUGAGACAGUUCGGUCUCUAUCCGCCGCGCGCGUAAGAAACUUGAGGAAGGCUGUCCCUAGUACGAGAGGACCGGGACGGACGAACCUCUGGUGUGCCAGUUGUUCCACCAGGAGCAUGGCUGGUUAGCUACGUUCGGAAGGGAUAACCGCUGAAAGCAUCUAAGCGGGAAGCCUGUUCCAAGAUGAGGUUUCUCACCACCUUGCGUGGUUAAGGCCCCCUACAGACCAUGGGGUUGAUAGGCCGGAACUGGAAGCGCAGCAGUGCGUGGAGGUGACCGGUACUAAUAGGCCGAGGGCUUACU